rnacentral:rRNA from 1 species
GACGAACGCUGGCGGCGUGCCUAAUACAUGCAAGUUGAGCGCUGAAGGUUGGUACUUGUCCUAACUGGAUGAGCAGCGAACGGGUGAGUAACGCGUGGGGAAUCUGCCUUUGAGCGGGGGACAACAUUUGGAAACGAAUGCUAAUACCGCAUAAAAACUUUAAACACAAGUUUUAAGUUUGAAAGAUGCAAUUGCAUCACUCAAAGAUGAUCCCGCGUUGUAUUAGCUAGUUGGUGAGGUAAAGGCUCACCAAGGCGAUGAUACAUAGCCGACCUGAGAGGGUGAUCGGCCACAUUGGGACUGAGACACGGCCCAAACUCCUACGGGAGGCAGCAGUAGGGAAUCUUCGGCAAUGGACGAAAGUCUGACCGAGCAACGCCGCGUGAGUGAAGAAGGUUUUCGGAUCGUAAAACUCUGUUGGUAGAGAAGAACGUUGGUGAGAGUGGAAAGCUCAUCAAGUGACGGUAACUACCCAGAAAGGGACGGCUAACUACGUG